GACGAACGCUGGCGGCGUGCUUAACACAUGCAAGUCGAACGAUGACGACCGAGCUUGCUCGGUCUGAUUAGUGGCGAACGGGUGAGUAACACGUGAGCAACCUGCCCUUCACUCUGGGAUAACCUCGGGAAAUCGGGGCUAAUACCGGAUAUGAGCUCCUGUCGCAUGGCGGGUGUUGGAAAGUUUUUCGGUGAAGGAUGGGCUCGCGGCCUAUCAGUUGGUUGGUGAGGUAGGGGCUCACCAAGGCGAUGACGGGUAGCCGGCCUGAGAGGGCGACCGGCCACACUGGGACUGAGACACGGCCCAGACUCCUACGGGAGGCAGCAGUGGGGAAUAUUGCACAAUGGGCGAAAGCCUGAUGCAGCGACGCCGCGUGAGGGAUGACGGCCUUCGGGUUGUAAACCUCUUUCAGCAGGGAAGAAGCGAAAGUGACGGUACCUGCAGAAGAAGCGCCGGCUAACUACGUG
rnacentral:rRNA from 1 species